GGCUUGAUCAAAGUUUAAGAAGUUUGACUUAUUUCUUUUUUUUUUCAAAGGUAAGACUUCUUGCAUUUAGGACCUCUUAAUUGGCUCCUCCCGGUUUCUCUCCCCUUCCAAUGCCCAAAGGCCAAAUCACGUGUUAAACUGACCGAUCAUUACGUUUUCAAAUUUAUUAAUCCAACGACGAAGGUUAUAAUUGGGGGGAAGGGCUGGGGUAAUGCAGUCAGUAUGAUCUGAUGGCACAUCUCCAUGCUCUUGUUUUCUCUUCCUCCAGCGUCAGUCAGUUGUACUGGAGUUGUUAAAGUAGUAGCAGCACCGGUACUGCAGAUCGUUGGAAUGGGUGUAUUCUGCCUUUUCUCAAGUGACUUUUGCAACUUGGGGUGUACAUGUACUAAGUUGUACGCAUUUUUGUGUAGCAGUUGUGAGAUAUAUGAUGCUGCGGGUGUUAAGCCCCAUGAACUGGAGACAAAGGUCACUGUUCUUCUCCUUGGGGCCUACACUCAGGCGCCCCUUUCCCCUCCUCUUAGACUAAUAAUCCAGCACAAUGCAAUCAAGCUCGAUCUUACUGUAUUUGCUUCUCCUCCACGGUCAAUACGGAGAUGAAUGGGAAAGUGAUGCCAAAUAGUAUUGGAUCCUCGCUGGAUGCAUGUAUACGUUAGCUCAAUGUGAAAGAUGAGAAUAUAACACACUUUUUUUUCGGUGUCGUGUCUCCCGUUUUGUGUGGCUAAUAGUCCAAAUAGCUUCUAAUCUUUUUUCACCUUGCGAUGCCUCUCAUAUGUUUAGGUUAUGGUUACGGUGGUUAAUAAAAUGUUGAAGGUACUUUUUAUGGUUGAAGCUGCCGCUUUAUGUUGGGCAAUUUGGCUAUGCAGAAAUGAUAUUGCAUUUAAUAGAAAGUAGUUAACUUCUCCUUUGCACUUAUAUUCUUGCACUCUUUGGCUCCGUACUUGGUCUAUCCUCCUCAAACCGGAGGAUCGUCAGCUGGCUUUGAUGACGUGCAACAAGUUGAAACAAGUGGCCAGAGACUUUUUUAUCCACAAUGGGUGGCAGUUUAACCUGUGGAUUGAUUCUGCAUAGAGAUUUUACUUUUCUUUCGAUGUAAUAAUUUUUUUUGUCUC
rnacentral:lncRNA from 1 species